AGGGCGUACGGCGAAUGCCUUGCCACUCGAAACUGAAGAAGGACGCGCCAAACUGCGAAAAGCUCCGUGAAGCUGUAAGGAAGCGAAGAAGCGGAGGUGUCCGAAUGGGGGAACCCGGCAGCAGACAUGAGCUGUCAUCUGCAGGUGAAUACAUGGCCUGCAAGAGAGGUACCCGGCGAACUGAAACAUCUAAGUAGCCGGAGGAAAAGAAAACAACAGUGAUUCCCUGAGUAGCGGCGAGCGAAAGGGGAGAAGCCCAAACCGGUUGAAGGACCGGGGUUGAAGGACCAUGACAUGGCAAGAACGAGGAUAGGAGAACGGGAUCGAAAGCCCGGCCGAAGAAGGUGAAAGCCCUGUAACCGAAAUCCGAGUAAAGCCUAAUGGGAUCCUGAGUACGGCGAGACACGAGGAAUCUUGUCGGAAGCAGGCGGGACCAUCCGCCAAGGCUAAAUAUAAACGAGUGAGCGAUAGUGAACCAGUACCGUGAGGGAAAGGUGAAAAGAACCGCGGGAGCGGAGUGAAAGAGAACCUGAAACCGUAUGCCUACAAGAAGUCAGAGCCCGUUAAGGGGUGAUGGCGUGCCUUUUGUAGAAUGAACCGGCGAGUUGCGACAGACUGCGAGGUUAAGGAGGAAAGACCGGAGCCGAAGCGAAAGCGAGUCUUAAGAGGGCGAAAGUAGGAUGUUGCAGACCCGAAACCGGGUGAUCUAGCCAUGAGCAGGUUGAAGUUGAGGUGAAACUCAAUGGAGGACCGAACCGACUACCGUUGAAAAGUUAGCGGAUGACUUGUGGCUAGGGGAGAAAUUCCAAUCGAACCCGGAGAUAGCUGGUUCUCCCCGAAAUAGCUUUAGGGCUAGCGUCGGAAAGAACCUUAGUGAAGGUAGAGCACUGAAUGUGUGAUGGCCCCAUCCCGGGGUACUGAAUACAAUCAAACUGCGAAUGUCAUUAAGGAUGUCCGGCAGUCAGACUGUGAGUGAUAAGGUCCAUGGUCAAGAGGGAAACAGCCCAGACCGCCAGUUAAGGUCCCAAAAUACAGGCUAAGUGGAAAAGGAUGUGGGGAUGCCCAGACAACUAGGAGGUUGGCUCAGAAGCAGCCAUCCUUUAAAGAGUGCGUAACAGCUCACUAGUCGAGUGACCCUGCGCCGAAAAUGUACCGGGGCUAAGCCUGAUACCGAAACUGCGGAUUGUAGGAAACUAUAGUGGUAGGGGAGCGUUGUAUACGAGCAGAAGCCGUACCGUGAGGAGCGGUGGAUUGUAUAGAAGUGAGAAUGCCGGUGUGAGUAGCGAGAUGUAGGUGAGAAUCCUACACACCGAAAGCCCAAGGAUUCCAGGGGAAGGUUCGUCCGCCCUGGGUAAGUCGGGACCUAACGCGAGGCCGAAAGGCGUAGUGGAUGGAAAGCAGGCGAAAGAUUCCUGCACCCGUAUAUGGAGCGAAGGAGUGACGGAGACGGAUAGUGUGACCCUCUUAAUGGAUUGAGGGCGAAGCGAAGCGGCUGGUUACCAGGCAAAUCCGGUAACCAAAAGGCUAGAGCGUGACAGGUAAGCGAAAUCUUAGGAAAGUAGCGAAGCACAUGAUGACGGCUUCCAGGAAAAGCUUCUGGCAAUGCAUAUGCGGCCCGUACCAAAACCGACACAGGUGGGCAGGGAGAGAAUCCCGAGGUGAGCGAGAGAACUGUUGCCAAGGAACUCGGCAAAAUGACUCCGUAAGUUAGCGAGAAGGAGUGCUUAAGCAAUUAAGCCGCAGUGAAGAGGCCCAAGCGACUGUUUAACUAAAACACAGCUCUCUGCGAAGUCGCAAGACGAAGUAUAGGGGGUGACACCUGCCCGGUGCUGGAAGGUUAAGAGGAUCUGUUAAGAGCGAUCUGAAGCAGUGAUCCGAAGCCCCAGUGAACGGCGGCCGUAACUAUAACGGUCCUAAGGUAGCGAAAUUCCUUGUCAGGUAAGUUCUGACCCGCACGAAAGGUGUAACGAUUUGGGCGCUGUCUCGGCAGCAGACUCGGUGAAAUCUUAGUACCUGUGAAAAUGCAGGUUACCCGCAACUAGACGGAAAGACCCCAUGGAGCUUUACUGCAGCCUGAUAUUGAAUUCUGGUCAUACAUGUACAGGAUAGGUGGGAGACAAAGAGACGUGCACGCCAGUGUACGAGGAGUCGACGUUGGGAUACCACUCUUGUGUGACCGGGGUUCUAACCUGGUAUCGAGAACAGGUACGGGGAGAGUGUCAGGUGGGCAGUUUGACUGGGGCGGUCGCCUCCCAAAGAGUAACGGAGGCGCCCAAAGGUUCCCUCAGCGCGGCCGGAAAUCGCGCGAAGAGUGUAAAGGCAGAAGGGAGCUUGACUGAGAGCCAAACACGGCGAUCAGGUACGAAAGUAGGGCUUAGUGAUCCGGUGGCAUCCAAGUGGAAGGGCCAUCGCUCAACGGAUAAAAGCUACCCUGGGGAUAACAGGCUAAUCUCUCCCAAGAGUCCAUAUCGACGGGGAGGUUUGGCACCUCGAUGUCGGCUCAUCACAUCCUGGGGCUGAAGUCGGUCCCAAGGGUUGGGCUGUUCGCCCAUUAAAGUGGUACGUGAGCUGGGUUCAGAACGUCGUGAGACAGUUCGGUCCCUAUCCAUCGCGGGCGCAAGAGAUUUGAAGGGGGCUGCUCCUAGUACGAGAGGACCGGAGUGGACGAACCAAUGGUGUACCAAUUAUCUCGCCAGAGGUAUAGUUGGGUAGCUACGUUCGGAAAGGAUAAACGCUGAAAGCAUCUAAGCGUGAAACCAGCCUUAAGAUGAGAUCUCUCAUAGAGUAAUCUAGUAAGACACCUUGG
rnacentral:rRNA from 1 species